rnacentral:rRNA from 1 species
GUUCCUACGGGACGCAGCAGUGGGGGAUAUUGCACAAUGGGGGGAACCCUGAUGCAGCGACGCCGCGUGGGUGAGGAAGUACCCCGGUAUGUAAAGCCCUUUCGGCAGGGAAGAAAAUGACGGUACCUGGCGAAGAAGCCCCGGCUAACUACGUGCCAGCAGCCGCGGUAAUACGUAGGGGGCAAGCGUUAUCCGGAUUUACUGGGUGUAAAGGGAGCGUAGACGGCGAUGCAAGCCAGAUGUGAAAGCCCGGGGCUCAACCCCGGGACUGCAUUUGGAACUG